rnacentral:rRNA from 1 species
UCGACCUGAGGUCAGGCAAGAACACCCGCUGAACUUGA